GACGAACGCUGGCGGCGUGCCUAAUACAUGCAAGUCGAACGCAGUGGGGACGGGUGCGUAACACGUGGGUAACCUCCCAUCAGAGGGGAUAACACUUGGAAACAGGUGCUAAACCGAUACUGAUGGAUGGACUCGCGGUGCAUUAGCUAGUUGGUGAGGUAACGGCGAACCAAGGCCACGAUGCAGAGCCGGCCUGAGAGGAUGAUCGGCCACACUGGAACGGAGACACGGCCCAGACUCCUACGGUAGGCAGCAGUGGGGAAUCUUCGGCAAUGGGCGAAAGUCUGACCGAGCAAUGCCGCGUGUGUGAAGAAGGUUUUCGGAUCGUAAAGCGCUGUUGUUAGGGAAGCGGUAUCUAACCAGAAAGCCACGGCUAACUACGUGCCAGCAGCCGCGGUAAUUC
rnacentral:rRNA from 1 species